rnacentral:lncRNA from 1 species
CACGUGUUGAAUGUUUUUAUUACAUUUUUCUGAGUAUUAAUGAUAAGAAUUCAAACAAUAUAGAAAUCUUAAAUAUAUCAAAUACAAUCUUCCCUCCAGUACAAGUCUCUAUACUAUGAGGCAAUAAAAACACACCCCGGAAAAUGAGGUGAUCUCCAUCAAUUGCCACUCCACUAAGAGUGAAGUCUGUACACUAUACUCUGUCAUAUGACACAAAUACACACAUGUAAACACUCUGUUUCUCGCCCUUUCAUUCUCUCACACACAUAAACACUGAACUUUACACAAUGUAAUAUACAGUUAAUUACAAUCAUUGAUGAAUUUGUAGAAUGAUAUCCUGUCCUCUUUCUACCAUCGAUUUAUCAGACAAAACACUUCAUGAAUGUAUGAGAUUGCCCAUGGUCGUCACUCAUCACAUCCUUACACAUUCACUGGCCUCACUAAUUUACUUUACUAUUUCUAUUAUGACAAAAAGUUAUGUCUUUCACAUACAUACAUAUACAUUCCUUUUCCCUUGUUCCUCUGUGGUUAUAGAGGAACUUGACAAUGUUAACAAAUAAACAUUAUAAAUAAUGAGGGGGAAAAGCAGACAACCAAACUGAUUCAUUUACAAGUUCAAAAUGACAUCAAGAAAGUGACAUCAGGCCAUCCAUAGUCUGUUGUGCUCAGUGCUGUCCCCCCCUCCACCAGAACAGUUCUGUAACUGUGUGAUCAACAGGGAAGGGACACUGGACCUGGCUGUGGAGAGCAGUUGCUCCACAUCUCUCAUGUCUGAUAACUUGUGGCAACGUGUUAGGAAGCUUAAAGUGCAAGCGAUAGUUCUGCCUGGUUGGAUGGAGCGGCCACCUAGCCGAGGCUAGGGUUGGGCAUCCUCCUAAGCCUGCCUCAGUGCCUGAAGUUGUGGAUGUCAUUGUGCAGGCUGACAGAGGGCCUUGAGGGGGAACUGUGAUUGUGGCAGCUCUUCUUGCAGCUGCAGCUCUGGAUCCACAUGACGUUGCGUGUGAAGCCCUCUCCGUCGGGACAUUGGAAGCGCAGGCGGACGGUGCGGGUCAGUGAAGGGGUGCAGCAUCGCCCGUCCGCACAGGAGCCACAGGUGUGAGGCCGAUGGCGGCGUGUUGUGGAGCAGCCAGCAAAGUUGAUCCUGAUUGGCUCCUGGGGGCGCACUGUACGCUGGCACUUCUUUACCCU